GGGCUUAGAUGAUGCAAUGACAGGAGAGGUUAAAAAUGAUAUGCCAAUACUGUAGACAGAAGUUGAAAACCUAGCCUCGUAAGAAUGCCAGUUGGAUGAGUGCAUCAGGAAAAAUGCAAGAAAGCAUGAGUGUGCUCACUGAAGAAGAAAGUAAUCAAAAGCUGCUUUACCUGAUCGAAGAUGACAUCAAAAGACUACCCUACUUUCAGGUUUUUUACAUGUUUCCCUUU